GUUUGAUCUCAAAUCA
rnacentral:rRNA from 1 species